GUACGGAAGGCAGCAGUGAGGAAUAUUGGGCAAUGGGCGAAAGCCUGACCCAGCCAUGCCGCGUGAAGGAUGAAUGCCCUAUGGGUUGUAAACUUCUUUUGUACGGGACAAAACUCUCGAACGUGUUCGGGAUUGAUGGUACUGUAUGAAUAAGCAUCGGCUAACUCCGUGCCAGCAGCCGCGGUAAUACGGAGGAUGCGAGCGUUAUCCGGAUUCAUUGGGUUUAAAGGGUGCGUAGGCGGAAUAAUAAGUCAGCGGUGAAAGCCUGCGGCUUAACCGUAGAAUUGCCAUUGAUACUGUUAUUCUUGAGUAUAGUUGAAGUAGGCGGAAUGUGUAAUGUAGCGGUGAAAUGCUUAGAUAUUACACAGAACACCAAUUGCGAAGGCAGCUUACUAAGCUGUUACUGACGCUGAGGCACGAAAGCGUGGGGAGCAAACAGGAUUAGAAACCCCUGUAGUCCG
rnacentral:rRNA from 1 species